CACGUAGGGGGCAAGCGUUGUCCGGAUUUAUUGGGCGUAAAGAGCUCGUAGGCGGUUCGGUAAGUCGGGUGUGAAACCUCCAGGCUCAACCUGGAGAUGCCACCUGAUACUGCUGUGACUCGAGUCCGGUAGGGGAGCGUGGAAUUCCUGGUGUAGCGGUGAAAUGCGCAGAUAUCAGGAGGAACACCAGCGGCGAAGGCGGCGCUCUGGGCCGGAACUGACGCUGAGACGCGAAAGCGUGGGGAGCAAACAGG
rnacentral:rRNA from 1 species